UACGUAGGGUGCGAGCGUUGUCCGGAAUUAUUGGGCGUAAAGAGUUCGUAGGCGGUUUGUCACGUCUGCUGUGAAAUCCCGAGGCUCAACCUCGGGCCUGCAGUGGGUACGGGCAGACUGGAGUGCGGUAGGGGAGAAUGGAAUUCCUGGUGUAGCGGUGGAAUGCGCAGAUAUCAGGAGGAACACCGAUGGCGAAGGCAGUUCUCUGGGCCGUAACUGACGCUGAGGAGCGAAAGCCAGGGGAGCAAACGGG
rnacentral:rRNA from 1 species